AUACCAUGAUGAGGGCAAUUUCUUUGCAACUCUUUGAACCUAUCCCAGACGUCUGAGAAACUUUCGUCCUCCUCUUGGUCGAAUCCAUAUAUCUUUUCCGUGUUCUU
rfam:Helianthus annuus linkage group 10, whole genome shotgun sequence.